rnacentral:rRNA from 1 species
UACGUAGGGUGCAAGCGUUGUCCGGAAUUAUUGGGCGUAAAGAGCUCGUAGGCGGUUUGUCGCGUCUGCUGUGAAAAUCCAGGGCUUAACCCUGGACCUGCAGUGGGUACGGGCAGACUAGAGUGCGGUAGGGGAGAUCGGAAUUCCUGGUGUAGCGGUGAAAUGCGCAGAUAUCAGGAGGAACACCGAUGGCGAAGGCAGGUCUCUGGGCUGUAACUGACGCUGAGGAGCGAAAGCAUGGGGAGCAAACAGG